UACGUAGGGACCGAGCGUUGUCCGGAAUCAUUGGGCGUAAAGAGCGUGUAGGCGGCCACUUAAGUCCUGCGUGAAAUCUUGCGGCUCAACCGCAAGCGGUCGUGGGAAACUGGGUGGCUAGAGUGCGGGAGAGGAGAGUGGAAUUCCUGGUGUAGCGGUGGGAAUGCGCAGAUAUCAGGAAGAACACCCGUGGCGAAGGCGGCUCUCUGGAACGCAACUGACGCUGAGACGCGAAAGCGUGGGGAGCAAACAGG
rnacentral:rRNA from 1 species